ACUACGGGUGGCAGCAGUCGAGAAUCAUUCACAAUGGGGGAAACCCUGAUGGUGCGACGCCGCGUGGGGGAAUGAAGGUCUUCGGAUUGUAAACCCCUGUCAUGUGGGAGCAAAUUAAAAAGAUAGUACCACAAGAGGAAGAGACGGCUAACUCUGUGCCAGCAGCCGCGGUAAUACAGAGGUCUCAAGCGUUGUUCGGAAUCACUGGGCGUAAAGCGUGCGUAGGCUGUUUCGUAAGUCGUGUGUGAAAGGCGCGGGCUCAACCCGCGGACGGCACAUGAUACUGCGAGACUAGAGUAAUGGAGGGGGAACCGGAAUUCUCGGUGUAGCAGUGAAAUGCGUAGAUAUCGAGAGGAACACUCGUGGCGAAGGCGGGUUGCUGGACAUUAACUGACGCUGAGGCACGAAGGCCAGGGGAGCGAAAGGGAUUAGAUACCCCGGUAGUC
rnacentral:rRNA from 1 species